rnacentral:rRNA from 1 species
AACGAACGCUGGCGGCAUGCCUAACACAUGCAAGUCGAACGAGACCUUCGGGUCUAGUGGCGCACGGGUGCGUAACGCGUGGGAACCUGCCCUUAGGUUCGGAAUAACUCCCCGAAAGGGGUGCUAAUACCGGAUAAUGUCUUCGGACCAAAGAUUUAUCGCCUUUGGAUGGGCCCGCGUUGGUUUAGCUAGUUGGUAGGGUAAAAGCCUACCAAGGCGACGAUCCAUAGCUGGUCUGAGAGGAUGAUCAGCCACACUGGGACUGAGACACGGCCCAGACUCCUACGGGAAGGAGCAGUGGGGAAUAUUGGACAAUGGGCGAAAGCCUGAUCCAGCAAUGCCGCGUGAGUGAUGAAGGCCUUAGGGUUGUAAAGCUCUUUUACCCGGGAUGAUAAUGACAGUACCGGGAGAAUAAGCUCCGGCUAACUCCGUG